UAAGCGGAGGAAAAGAAACUANCAAGGAUUCCCCUAGUAACUGCGAGUGAAGCGGGAAAAGCUCAAAUUUAAAAUCUGGUGGUCUUUGGCCAUNCGAGUUGUAAUUUAGAGAAGCGUCUUCCGCGCUGGGCCGUGCACAAGUCUCCUGGAAUGGAGCGUCACAGAGGGUGAGAAUCCCGUCUUUGGCAUGGACACACCAGGGCUUUUGUGAUGCGCUCUCGAAGAGUCGAGUUGUUUGGGAAUGCAGCUCAAAAUGGGUGGUGAACUCCAUCUAAAGCUAAAUAUUGGCGAGAGACCGAUAGCGAACAAGUACCGUGAGGGAAAGAUGAAAAGCACUUUGGAAAGAGAGUGAAACAGUACGUGAAAUUGUUGAAAGGGAAGCGCUUGAAGUCAGUCGCGUCGACCGAGACUCAGCCUUGUCUUGGCCUGGUGUACUUCUCGGCCGACGGGUCAGCAUCAAUUUUGCCCCUUGGAUAAUGAUGAGGGAAACGUGACACCUUUAUGGUGUGUUAUAGUCUCUUGUCGCAUGCAAGGGUCGGGAUUGAGGAACUCAGCACGCACCUUUGGGUGUCNGGCUUUGCCCACGAUACGUGCUUAGGAUGUUGGCGUAAUGGCUUUAAACGACC
rnacentral:rRNA from 1 species